GACGAACGCUGGCGGCGUGCCUAAUACAUGCAAGUAGAACGCUGAAGACUUUAGCUUGCUAAAGUUGGAAGAGUUGCGAACGGGUGAGUAACGCGUAGGUAACCUGCCUACUAGCGGGGGAUAACUAUUGGAAACGAUAGCUAAUACCGCAUAACAGCAUUUAACCCAUGUUAGAUGCUUGAAAGGAGCAAUUGCUUCACUAGUAGAUGGACCUGCGUUGUAUUAGCUAGUUGGUGAGGUAACGGCUCACCAAGGCGACGAUACAUAGCCGACCUGAGAGGGUGAUCGGCCACACUGGGACUGAGACACGGCCCAGACUCCUACGGGAGGCAGCAGUAGGGAAUCUUCGGCAAUGGGGGCAACCCUGACCGAGCAACGCCGCGUGAGUGACAGAAGGUUUUCGGAUCGUAAAGCUCUGU
rnacentral:rRNA from 1 species